AGUGAACGCUGGCGGUAGGCCUAACACAUGCAAGUCGAACGGCAGCACAGUAAGAGCUUGCUCUUACGGGUGGCGAGUGGCGGACGGGUGAGGAAUACAUCGGAAUCUACUUUUUCGUGGGGGAUAACGUAGGGAAACUUACGCUAAUACCGCAUACGACCUACGGGUGAAAGCAGGGGAUCUUCGGACCUUGCACGAUUGAAUGAGCCGAUGUCGGAUUAGCUAGUUGGCGGGGUAAAGGCCCACCAAGGCGACGAUCCGUAGCUGGUCUGAGAGGAUGAUAAGCCACACGGGAACUGAGACACGGUCCAGACUCCUACGGGAGGCAGCAGUGGGGAAUAUUGGACAAUGGGCGCAAGCCUGAUCCAGCCAUACCGCGUGGGUGAAGAAGGCCUUCGGGUUGUAAAGCCCUUUUGUUGGGAAAGAAAAGCAGCAGGUUAAUACCCCGCUGUUCUGACGGUACCCAAAGAAUAAGCACCGGCUAACUUCGUG
rnacentral:rRNA from 1 species